CUGCAGUGGGAGUUGUGACUGUACUCUAUAGGUGUAACCAUAAACAGGGUUAGGGUUAUAGGGGAUCCACUGCAGUGGGAGUUGUGACUGUACUCUAUAGGUGUAACCAUAAACAGGGUUAGGGUUAUAGGGGAUCCACUGCAGUGGGAGUUGUGACUGUACUCUAUAGGUGUAACCAUAAACAGGGUUAGGGUUAUAGGGGAUCCACUGCAGUGGGAGUUGUGACUGUACUCUAUAGGUGUAACCAUAAACAGGGUUAGGGUUAUAGGGGAUCCACUGCAGUGGGAGUUGUGACUGUACUCUAUAGGUGUAACCAUAAACAGGGUUAGGGUUAUAGGGGAUCCACUGCAGUGGGAGUUGUGACUGUACUCUAUAGGUGUAACCAUAAACAGUCUCCUGUUUGAAAACACCAACAAACUAAAAAACGUUGGCACCUUUGUGUAGAAAUGCUAACCGUCAUCACAGAACAGAUGGAUCAGAAAUAGAGCAGGGUGAAACGAGGCUAAGGAGUUAGUCACUAACCUACAUGUAGCCUUAUGAAAUGAGAGACAGAAACAACCUAGAUCCAAAUAUAAAGGUCCUGAACAACUGACAUGUCCCCCCCUCUAACAGACACAAUACAUUGUCAUCCUUACCUCUUAAAACAACAGUCAAUGUUCAGAUAGUGAUAUAUCCUAUAUAAAAGGGCUCUGCUAGCAGCUCUAUUAAAACAACAGUCAAUGUUCAGAUAGUGAUAUAUCCUAUAUAAAAGGGCUCUACAGUGCUAGCAGCUCUAUUAAAACAACAGUCAAUG